rnacentral:rRNA from 1 species
AUUGAACGAUUGCGGCAGGCCUAACCCAUGCAAGUCGAGCGGAGCGGCGGACGGGUGAGUAAUGCCUAGGAAUCUGCCUGGUAGUGGGGGAUACCGUCCGGAAACGGGCGCUAAUACCGCAUACUAUCAGAUUAGCAUAGGUCGGAUUAGCUGGUUGGUGGGGUAAAGGCCUACCAAGGCGACGAUCCGGCACUGGUCUGAGAGGAUGAUCAGUCACACUGGAACUGAGACACGGUCCAGACUCAUACGGGAGGCAUGAGUGGGGAAUAGUGGACAAGUGGCGAAAGCCUGAGCCAGCCAUGCCGCGGGUGUGAAGAAGGUCUUCGGAGUGUAAAGCACUUUAAGUUGGGAGGCGUUACCAACAGAAUAAGCACCGGCUAACGUCGUGCCAGCAGCCGCGGUAAUAC